rnacentral:rRNA from 1 species
AUUGAACGCUGGCGGCAGGCCUAACACAUGCAAGUCGAACGAGUGGCGGACGGGUGAGUAAUGUCUGGGAAACUGCCCGAUGGAGGGGGAUAACUACUGGAAACGGUAGCUAAUACCGCAUACCAUCGGAUGUGCCCAGAUGGGAUUAGCUAGUAGGUGGGGUAACGGCUCACCUAGGCGACGAUCCCUAGCUGUUCUGAGAGGAUGACCGGGCACACUAGAACGUGGACACGGUCCAGACUCCUGCGCGAGGCAGGAGUGGGGAAUAUUGCACAAGGGGCGCAAGGCUGAUAAAGCCAGGCCGCGUGUAUGAAGAAGGCCUUCGGGUGGUAAAGUACUUUCAGCGAGGGGGCGUUACUCGGAGAGGAAGCACAGGCUAACUCCGUGCAUGCCGCCGCGGUAAUUC